rnacentral:rRNA from 1 species
AUUCCGGCUCCAAUAGCGUAUAUUAAAGUUGUUGCAGUUAAAAAGCUCGUAGUUGAACUUCAGACCUGGCCGGGUGGUCUGCCUCACGGUAUGUACUGUCUGGCUGGGUCUUACCUCUUGGUGAGCCGGCAUGCCCUUUACUGGGUGUGUCGGGGAACCAGGACUUUUACCUUGAGAAAAUUAGAGUGUUCAAAGCAGGCCUAUGCCUGAAUACAUUAGCAUGGAAUAAUAAAAUAGGACGUGCGGUUCUAUUUUGUUGGUUUCUAGAGUCGCCGUAAUGAUUAAUAGGGAUAGUUGGGGGCAUUAGUAUUCAGUUGCUAGAGGUGAAAUUCUUGGAUUUACUGAAGACUAACUACUGCGAAAGCAUUUGCCAAGGAUGUUUUCAUUG